GUGAGUAACGCGUAGGAAUCUACCUAGUAGAAGGGGAUAGCCCGAGGAAACUCGGAUUAAUACCGUAUACCUCCUCGGGAGAAAGAAGGCCUCUCUUUGAAGCUUUCGCUACUAGAUGAGCCUGCGUAAGAUUAGCUUGUUGGUGAGGUAAAGGCUCACCAAGGCUACGAUCUUUAGCGGGUCUGAGAGGACGAUCCGCCACAUUGGGACUGAGACACGGCCCAGACUCCUACGGGAGGCAGCAGUGGGGAAUAUUGGACAAUGGGCGAAAGCCUGAUCCAGCCAUACCGCGUGUGUGAAGAAGGCCCUAGGGUUGUAAAGCACUUUAAGUUGGGAAGAAAAGUUAUUGGUUAAUACCCAAUGACCGUGACAUUACCAUCAG
rnacentral:rRNA from 1 species